rnacentral:rRNA from 1 species
AGUGAGGAAUUUUGCGCAAUGGGGGAAACCCUGACGCAGCAACGCCGCGUGAGUGAAGAAGGCUUUCGGGUCGUAAAGCUCUGUCAGAUGGGAAAAAAUUUCUACGGUCAAUAGCCGUAGAGUCUGAUGGUACCAUCAGAGGAAGCACCGGCUAACUCCGUGCCAGCAGCCGCGGUAAUACGGAGGGUGCGAGCGUUGUUCGGAAUUACUGGGCGUAAAGAGCGUGUAGGCGGUUUGGUAAGUCAGAUGUGAAAGCCCUGGGCUUAACCCAGGAAGUGCAUUUGAUACUGCCAUUCUUGAGUAUGGGAGAGGAGAGUGGAAUUCCCAGUGUAGAGGUGAAAUUCGUAGAUAUUGGGAGGAACACCCGUGGCGAAGGCGACUCUCUGGACCAAUACUGACGCUGAGACGCGAAAGCGUGGGGAGCAAACAGGAUUAGAUACCCUGGUAGUCCACGCCGUAAACGAUGAGAACUAGGUGUAGCGGGUAUUGACCCCUGCUGUGCCGAAGUUAACGCAUUAAGUUCUCCGCCUGGGGAGUACGGCCGCAAGGCUA